rnacentral:rRNA from 1 species
UACGAAGGGGGCUAGCGUUGCUCGGAAUCACUGGGCUUAAAGCGCGUGUAGGCGGAUGGGGACGUCGGUCGCUGAAAGCCCCCGGCUCAACCGGGGAAGUGGCGCCGAAACGCCCCGUCUGGAGGGACGUAGGGGGACCUGGAACUUCCGGUGGAGCGGUGAAAUGCGUUGAGAUCGGGUGGAACACCAGUGGCGAAGGCGGCAUCCUGGCCCUGACCUGACGCUGAGGCGCGAGAGCGUGGGGAGCAAACGGG